rnacentral:rRNA from 1 species
UAGAGUUUGAUCCUGGCUCAGGAUGAACGCUAGCUACAGGCUUAACACAUGCAAGUCGAGGGGCAGCAUGUCGGUUGCUUGCAACCGAUGAUGGCGACCGGCGCACGGGUGAGUAACGCGUAUCCAACCUACCCUUGUCCAUCGGAUAACCCGUCGAAAGGCGGCCUAACACGAUAUGCGGUUCACAGCAGGCAUCUAACGUGAACGAAAUGUGAAGGAGAAGGAUGGGGAUGCGUCUGAUUAGCUUGUUGGCGGGGUAACGGCCCACCAAGGCAACGAUCAGUAGGGGUUCUGAGAGGAAGGUCCCCCACAUUGGAACUGAGACACGGUCCAAACUCCUACGGGAGGCAGCAGUGAGGAAUAUUGGUCAAUGGGCGAGAGCCUGAACCAGCCAAGUAGCGUGCAGGAUGACGGCCCUAUGGGUUGUAAACUGCUUUUAUAAGGGAAUAAAGUGAGUCUCGUGAGACUUUUUGCAUGUACCUUAUGAAUAAGGACCGGCUAAUUCCGUGCCAGCAGCCGCGGUAAUACGGAAGGUCCGGGCGUUAUCCGGAUUUAUUGGGUUUAAAGGGAGCGUAGGCCGGAGAUUAAGCGUGUUGUGAAAUGUAGACGCUCAACGUCUGCACUGCAGCGCGAACUGGUUUCCUUGAGUACGCACAAAGUGGGCGGAAUUCGUGGUGUAGCGGUGAAAUGCUUAGAUAUCACGAAGAACUCCGAUUGCGAAGGCAGCUCACUGGAGCGCAACUGACGCUGAAGCUCGAAAGUGCGGGUAUCGAACAGGAUUAGAUACCCUGGUAGUCCGCACGGUAAACGAUGGAUGCCCGCUGUUGGUCUGAAUAGGUCAGCGGCCAAGCGAAAGCAUUAAGCAUCCCACCUGGGGAGUACGCCGGCAACGGUGAAA